rnacentral:lncRNA from 10 species
UGUAGGUGAAGAUGUAUGAUAGAAAAACGAAAAACUGGAAUAAACCCAAGACUGGCUGUUUGGAGGUUUAAUGUUUUUAACAAUGGAGGGCCAAAAAAGAAGAUAAUUUGGAUUUGAACCAAUGAUUUUCUUCAUCUCAACUCACCUCACCACUACGGAUCCAAGCCUGACACAGAGCCUAACAGAAGAUACUUUCCUCCAAAUACAAUCCUGUUCACCAUGGAAGACAUUAAAACCUUCAGUGGUUGCUGCUGGGGGCCUUCACCAAAAUGCAGCCAUUCACCUUGCUGCUGGGGGCCUUCACCAAAAUGCAGCCAUUCACCUUUGCUUUUGCUCUACCUACAAAAAAUGUUCAUUGGCUCACUCCCGAGGUCAACUUUGAUUCAAAG